rnacentral:lncRNA from 1 species
GUUAAUAGCUUGCUAGACCCUGCAAGAGCCUCCUGUAUGUGAUUAAAGUUCAAUUUAGAGAUUGAGAUACAAUUAUUUAAGGUAAAUUACAUCUGUUUGAAAGUGAAACCAGUUUUUUUUUUCAUGCAGGCUCUGUCAAUCAUAGCCAGGGGAGGUGUGGCUAGGGCUGCAUAAACAGAAACAGAGUGAUUUAACUCCUAAAUGACAGUGAAUUGAGCAGUGAAAUUGCAGGGGAAU